UUUUUCGUAAUGAUUUCUUUGAUUUGUGUAGUACUUUGCCUCUGACAAUUUACGGUUUUCUGUCAAGAAUAUUCCAGGAAUAAGCAGAGUAUGGUAGCCCACUCCUUCAAUCCCAACACUAAGGAGGCAAAGACAGGCAGGUCUAAGUUGGAGGCCAGCCUGGUCUACUUAGCAAGUUUCAGCAUUACGUAGAAAGCCCCUGUUUUCAAAAAUCAAUAGACAAACUCCAAGUGAGGUAAGUACUUCUUAAUAGCUAAUAAUGUGGUUUGUGUUUGCCUGCUCUGGACUUAGGUUAUCAUUUGUUCAUUUGGUUUUGAUAAGACUAUUUAUUAAAAUGUAAAUUUUGUCAUUGAGCAAUAAAUUUCAAUUUCUGGACUUUGCCAAUGGCAUUGACCCAUAAAUUUCAUUUCUAAAGGUACAAUGUACUAUUCCUUACCACCUUUAUUUUUUAUUUUUAGGCUGUUAUCCAGAAGUUCCUCUAUCUAGGAGAUGACCGAAACAUUGAGGAGGUUUAUGUGGGUGGAAAGCAGGUCGUUCCAUUCUCCAGCUCCGUGUAAGGCCCUUGGAC
rnacentral:lncRNA from 1 species